rnacentral:rRNA from 1 species
AACGUAGGAGACAAACGUUAUCCGGAGUUACUGGGCGUAAAGGGCGUGUAGGUGGUUUCGUAAGUCUGGCGUGAAAUAUCUCGGCUUAACCGAGGCAGGUCGUCGGAUACUGCGGGACUAGAGGACGGUAGAGGCGUGUGGAAUUCCGGGUGUAGUGGUGAAAUGCGUAGAGAUCCGGAGGAACACCAGUGGCGAAGGCGACACGCUGGGCCGUACCUGACACUGAUGCGCGAAAGCAUGGGGAGCAAACAGG